UACGAAGGGGGCUAGCGUUGCUCGGAAUCACUGGGCGUAAAGGGCGCGUAGGCGGCCGAUCAAGUCAGAGGUGAAAGCCCGAGGCUUAACCUUGGAAUUGCCUUGGAUACUGUUCGGCUCGAGAACGGAAGAGGUAAGUGGAACUGCGGGUGUAGAGGUGAAAUUCGUAGAUAUUCGCAAGAACACCAGUGGCGAAGGCGGCUUACUGGUCCGGUUCUGACGCUGAGGCGCGAAAGCGUGGGGAGCAAACAGG
rnacentral:rRNA from 1 species